rnacentral:rRNA from 1 species
UACGUAGGGUCCGAGCGUUGUCCGGAAUUAUUGGGCGUAAAGGGCUCGUAGGCGGUCUGUUGCGUCGGGAGUGAAAACUUACAGCUUAACUGUGAGCGUGCUUUCGAUACGGGCAGACUUGAGGCAUUCAGGGGAGAACGGAAUUCCUGGUGUAGCGGUGAAAUGCGCAGAUAUCAGGAGGAACACCGGUGGCGAAGGCGGCAUCCUGGACCGGCAUUGACGCUGAGGAGCGAAAGCUAGGGGAGCAAACGGG